rnacentral:rRNA from 1 species
UACGUAGGUGGCAAGCGUUGUCCGGAUUUACUGGGCGUAAAGAGCGCGCAGGCGGUCGAUUUAGUCGCGUGUGAAAGCCCCCGGCUCAACUGGGGAGGGUCACGCGAUACUGAUCGACUCGAAGGCAGGAGAGGGUAGUGGAAUUCCCGGUGUAGUGGUGAAAUGCGUAGAUAUCGGGAGGAACACCAGUGGCGAAGGCGACUACCUGGCCUGUUCUUGACGCUGAGGCGCGAAAGCUAGGGGAGCAAACGGA